GUGGGGAAUUUUUCGCAAUGGGGGAAACCCUGACGAAGCAACGCCGCGUGGAGGAUGAAGGCCUUCGGGUCGUAAACUCCUGUCGACCGGGACGAAAGUGGUUCGGCCCAAUACGCCGGACCAUCGACUGUACCGGUGGAGGAAGCCACGGCUAACUCUGUGCCAGCAGCCGCGGUAAUACAGAGGUGGCAAGCGUUGUUCGGAAUUACUGGGCGUAAAGGGCGCGUAGGCGGUCGGGUAAGUCCUGUGUGAAAUCCCUCGGCUCAACUGAGGAACUGCACAGGAAACUGCCCGGCUUGAGUUCGGGAGAGGGAAGCGGAAUUCCGGGUGUAGCGGUGAAAUGCGUAGAUAUCCGGAGGAACACCGGUGGCGAAGGCGGCUUCCUGGACCGAUACUGACGCUGAGGCGCGAAAGCUAGGGGAGCAAACGGGAUUAGAUACCCCGGUAGUCC
rnacentral:rRNA from 1 species